rnacentral:rRNA from 1 species
UACGUAGGUGGCAAGCGUUGUCCGGAAUUAUUGGGCGUAAAGCGCGCGCAGGCGGCUUCUUAAGUCUGAUGUGAAAUCUCGGGGCUCAACCCCGAGCGGCCAUUGGAAACUGGGAAGCUUGAGUACAGAAGAGGAGAGUGGAAUUCCACGUGUAGCGGUGAAAUGCGUAGAUAUGUGGAGGAACAGCCAGUGGCGAAGGCGACUCUCUGGUCUGUAACUGACGCUGAGGCGCGAAAGCGUGGGGAGCAAACAGG